rnacentral:lncRNA from 1 species
CUUCCGGCUGGGAGUGAGGGAGCAGGCCGGGAGGAGGUUACAAGGCUUUAGAUCUGGUCUUGGCCAGUGGGGACUAGGGACGCCUGGCACUGGGUUGGCCACCGCAGGACAGUAGUGGGAACCCGGCACAGUAGCGCUGCAGCAGUUGCACUUGCAACAUCCCUGCUCUCCCGGUUCUCCUCCACCUGCACCUUUGUCACCUUCAGGUGCUUCGGAGCCUCAAAGAGGGGGCAGUGGGAAGUCUCCUGGCUCCUCAGAGUCUGAACUCCAGAGGGCAUCAUGUGCUGCAUGAAUCUCAUACUCACAGGAUCCCAUUUGUCAGCUCUCAAGCCUUUUUAGAAUCCUGUGAACAUUUGCCAAAGUUGCUUUUUUUUUUUUUUAAAGAGAGGGUUGCGGCUUCUUCCUAGGAACAGAGACAUCUGCAUUUGCUCUCAUGCCUAACGCCACUGAAGCUGGAAAAGCCACUGAUCCUGGACAUGGUGAGCACACAUCUGAGAACAAGUCACCAGAAGAGGGUCUACAAGGUGCUGUACCAUCUUUCUAUACAAGUGCCUCAGAAGCACCCAUAGCGCCCAGAGGAGAUGGGCAUUAUCCAUCGAGUUGUCCAGUGACUCACACUCGAGAGAAAAUUUAUGCGAUCUGCUCAGAUUAUGCCUUCCUCAACCAGGCAACAUCAGUCUACAAAACUCCUAGCCUAACCCGCUCUGCUUGCCUCCCUGAUAACACCUCUCUUUCUGCUGGAAAUACUACAAGAUAUAUUGGAAUUUCAACUAGUACAUCAGAAAUAAUCUAUAAUGAAGAAAAUAACUUGGAAAACUUGUCCACUGGCAUGGGCAAGCUACCUCUUGCAUGGGAGAUUGAUAAAUCUGAAUUUGAUGGGGUGACUACAAAUUUGAUACAUAAGUCAGGCAAUGUAAAGAAACAAUUUUCC